rfam:Echinostoma caproni strain Egypt genome assembly, scaffold: ECPE_scaffold0009329
GAACUGCUGACGUGUCCCAAACAGGACGAAAACAGUUGUCCAAUGC